rnacentral:tRNA from 1 species
UUUAAUAUGGCAGAUUAGUGCAAUGAAUUUAAAUUUCAUAAAUAAAAAAUAUUUUUUUAUUAAAA